AAGAGAUGGAAAAAGCAGGAUUCAGGAUAACUUUGUUUUUUUGGAAGAUGACCAAAAUGCUAUCUCUAUUUGGAGAUAAUAAUUAGUCUCAUCUUCAUUGGCUUCUUCUCGAAUGCGGAGGGAAUUAUCGGAUGAGUACAUUGGAACAUGGUCGCCAUGUGGCCUGCUGCCCCCGUGUACCACUUGGAGACCAGCCUAGCAUGGAAAUGACCAGAUGUUGGAAGCUGAGCUACUGGAAUGGAAGCAGUGGCUCAACUCACAUCAGUACCCAGAUACACAGAUGCUCCGGGAUCUGAGGAAGUGACCUAUAGAAAAUGAAAAAUGACCAGGUAAAGGCAAUACGAAGGGAAGUAGAGGGGCUUAUUAGGCAGCUCUGGACAAGCAGUCAAGGUAUUAAUGCUUGAAAGAUAUUCCAUGUUUGAAG
rnacentral:lncRNA from 10 species